UAAAACGUAGGAGGCGAGCGUUAUCCGGAUUCACUGGGUGUAAAGCGCGUGCAGGCGGUUCGGUAAGUUGGGCGUGAAAUCUCCUGGCUCAACUAGGAGAGGUCGUUCAAUACUACCGGACUUGAGAGUGGUAGAGGAAGAUGGAAUUCCCGGUGUAGUGGUGAAAUGCGUAGAUAUCGGGAGGAACACCAGUGGCGAAGGCGAUCUUCUGGACCAUUUCUGACGCUCAGACGCGACAGCUAGGGUAGCAAACGGGAUUAGAGACCCCGGUAGUCCUAGCCGUAAACGAUGUGAACUUGGCGUCGGUGGCUUAAACACCAUCGGUGCCGCAGCAAACGCGAUAAGUUCACCACCUGGGGACUACGGCCGCAAGGUUAAAACUCAAAUGAAUUGACGG
rnacentral:rRNA from 1 species